GAGUUUGAUCAUGGCUCAGGAUGAACGCUGGCGGCGUGCCUAAUACAUGCAAGUCGAGCGAAUGGAUUGAGAGCUUGCUCUCAAGAAGUUAGCGGCGGACGGGUGAGUAACACGUGGGUAACCUGCCCAUAAGACUGGGAUAACUCCGGGAAACCGGGGCUAAUACCGGAUAACAUUUUGAACUGCAUGGUUCGAAAUUGAAAGGCGGCUUCGGCUGUCACUUAUGGAUGGACCCGCGUCGCAUUAGCUAGUUGGUGAGGUAACGGCUCACCAAGGCAACGAUGCGUAGCCGACCUGAGAGGGUGAUCGGCCACACUGGGACUGAGACACGGCCCAGACUCCUACGGGAGGCAGCAGUAGGGAAUCUUCCGCAAUGGACGAAAGUCUGACGGAGCAACGCCGCGUGAGUGAUGAAGGCUUUCGGGUCGUAAGACUCUGUUGUUAGGGAAGAACAAGUGCUAGUUGAAUAAGCUGGCACCUUGACGGUACCUAACCAGAAAGCCACGGCUAACUACGU
rnacentral:rRNA from 1 species